UGUGAAUGAAGUUGUCGCUGAUGGCGUGCAAACUUGUCUUCGCCAAAGACUAACUACACAUUUACAACGCGAUCGAGUUGUGUGCUGCUACAGGUGAGCAAAGUCGGCUGCCAACUGCCUCUGCAACCGCUUGAACUAAAGUUCUUUCUCUCUCACACGCUCCUUGUGUAAUGCACUGAAGCCGGUGUCUUGUACUACGUACGGCAGGGCACUUUGUAGGACCAACCUAUUCGUUCGGCGCGUCCACCGCAAAAUGGAGCAGCCGCCCAGUCGGACUAUGUUCCCUCACUACCUCCCCUCGCUCGACUCUCUUCCUCCUAUUGCCUUGUCCGUCUGUCCAGAACGUCGCUUAUACCACUUACUAGGAGGCUUAUAACACACUCGGCAGGGUCGUGCUCAUCGCGAUGGUUACGGCACACACACACACACACAAAAAUGGCGACGUCGUCAGCCGAUGGCACUGGACAUUUUAACUGUCUCCGAAGAAAGUUAAUCGGUGCGAAUAGGAAUUAUGGAAAAACCACCCACAUUAAAAAAUGGAAUAUAUUUGAAACAAUUUUAGGAUAGUUUUUCUCUCUUUUUUUUUUUCUUUCUGUUUUCACUCUUCAUUUCUUAUCAAUUGUUGUAUCCGUGACGACGCUAUCACCAACCGGAGCAGGUAAAUAUGUAGACAGCAGACCGUAUUUGUAACUGGUUGCAAGAUAAGAAGACAACAAAAAAAAAAAGGCCAAAAACGAACGCAACGCAGUCUGAGCUCGCAAGAGUUCUUAUCAGCAGUACAUAUAGCGCGCAGUGUGUGUAGACGGAUCGUCAAAGAUGAUGGGGGGUAGGGGGACGUAUGAGCAGACAGGCAUAUUAGACACAGAGUUUAAUAGGUUAGUUAAAUCAUUGAAAACAAAAAUCCCACACAACACCCGAACGGGUGGGCGAGAUUUGCGAGAGACAUCGGGAAACAAUUUGAUAAAAAAUUUUUCAAAAUUCUUGAGAUUCAUCGUCGAUGUUCAUAUCCAACAGUCUAGGCAAAGAUAUAUAUAGGCAGUUUGCCGUUACAAUGAGCGACCGUGAACGUGCAGAUAUCCGCUCGACAUCCGGACUAUUCAUUUCCUAACGGCUAUACAACGUUUAACUCGAGCGUCAUUUUUUCGUGCCAAGGUGUGUACGUUGUAAAGAUAAGACCAAUCUCCAAUCUUCCAUUAGCGACGUGUGUUGUGUAAUAAUCCAGUUAGAAAAAUAAUAAAUGUAAACUGGACCACUCGAGAAAGCAAACCGACAACCCAGCAUUUUCUGCUUUUUGUUUUAUUUUUUCGUUCUAAAAUAAUAAAAUGCCCACCCUUACAAAAAAUAAAAAUGGACUAGAUCUGUCAAGUGUAGAGCCGUUGUUGUACAACAAAUGAAGUCAUACAGGAGAGAGUAAAAGUAAAAAAAUAAAAUAAAAUAAAAGGAAUUCAGGUCAAGUCAAUAUCCGAUUUAAGCUUGACACAGACAUAGGAAAACAGUUUCCUCCUCGGCUCCAUAUAUUUAGGCUUAACUAACAAAGGUGGAAAGUCUUUUCUUUGUAGCGUCUUCUCUUCCGGAACUACCUCCGGCUGUUCCCAAUUUAUUUAUUUAUUUUUUUUUUUCAAACACGUAAAAGCGUAUAGCCUCAUUCACGCAAUCUCUACAACGCUAAAUAGCAAAUGUAGUACUGCAUAUCAGAUACAAACUUGUGGUAUAUUCAAUAAUCGAUCGUUAAGACGGGAGAGUUAUACAGGCCACGUUUUCAGGUAUGACAUAGACCGCGAAUUGUGUUUUUUGCUUCCUAAUCAGGUGAUUGCAAUCAGAAAUGGGAAGGUAUAGAACACGAUGGGUCUCAACAACAAGAAUUGCGUAAACAUACACUCACGUCGAAAACUGUCACACAACAAACGCCGCAAAAGAAUCAAAACGUUGUGAAUGAUAUUAUUUUUUUUUAAAGAGGAAAGACACAAACGUGACACGAAGAGAUUACAAGUGCACUUGUAGAAUAUGAGAUUACUAUCAUCAGCAUUUUGACGAGAAUUUCAACUGAGAAAAAGAAAAAAAAAAAAGGCAAAAUGAUCAAUAGAGAAAAAGAGGAGCAUCUUAUUGAGAGGUGGGCGGAUAAUCGCCUGGAACAAAAACAAAACACGGGAAUAGUAGGGUCAAAAUGACAUGCAAAAAUGUCUCGUAACGUCUCUGUUUCUUUGGUCUCGGCUGUAUACAAAACGUCUCUAUUUGUCGAACAUAAUUUUUUUCCCAAUUUUGAAAAUGGGAUUUUAAAAAAAAGGUCGACCUGAGAUGCCCAGUGAUUCACGAAAAAAUCUUGAAAACAAACUAUAACUAAGCAAAGUACGCUAAAUAAUAAUAAGCAAAUACAAUGAAUAAAUGGUCAACUAAAAAAUCGCACUGCGCUGACGCAAAUACAAAAAAAUGAAAAAGAAACGAACUAGAAAGCACUCACCAAAAAAUCGUAGUCACACUCAACUACAUUUUGUUUGUACGUUAAUUGUAACAAAAAAAGACAGUGAAUACAAAAAUUAUUUAAAAAAAAAAAUUAAUCAAACCCCCCCAGAGCAUAAAAUGUCGACACGAAUCAUUUGGAAGCCUAAUAAAGUCAAUUUAGAUUAUUGGAUUUUUAAAAGAAUUUUUUAGCUGGACAUGAGCGACUGUUGUUGAUCUCCGGAGCAAUCUUCGGGCGAAUGUUGUUGUUGUUGUUGGAUCACAUUGCCGUAAUAAUGUUGUUGCUGUUGUUGGCUGUUGGCCGUUGAAUAAUAGGCGGAAAAAGCGCCGAAAUCGUUAUUAUUCAAACCGCCACUAGCGCCGGCAGCGACGUGGCCACCAGUUUGAGACGAGAUCAUGUUGUUGUUGGGACUGACCGAGCCCGGAUACGAAGAUGAAACGGGUGAAUUGUUACUGCUGUAAUGUCCAGCUCCACUGCUACUACAACCGGGCUGUUGAUGUUGUUGGACAGUCAUGUUCAUGGCCGCCAUGGGUGGUAGAUCGUAACACGGUUGGUGUAAUUGUUGUUGAUGGUGAUGAUGGUGGUGUGAUUCUACCGGACUGGCGUUGCCGCUAACGUACGGCGACGUGUUCUCCGGCGACAAGCAAUCGCCAUCUAUCAUAAACAAAACAAAAAAACACAUUUUAUUUAAUAAAUAUUGAAUUAAAAACGCUGUGAAAAUUGAAUCAAAUGUGAAUAUUUGAACCCGGUAGUUUUGCAAUAAACUUUAACUAUUUCCCAACCAAUCGGAAAUUCUUAAGAGGAGGGACGUGUGAUGAAAACAUUCAACCCAUCUGACAAAAAAAGAAAAAUGCAAUUUGAGACCACUCGGGCUUAUCAAUUUUCUACGAAAUGGAUCCGGCCAAUCACCAUAAGGCGAAUCCCACUAGGAUUGAAUCCGUUUUCAACUACGACAAACAAACCCGGGCGAAAUUGGAGGAUUGCCAAAGGACCAUUGCAGAGGUCAUCGUUACAACACACGCGUCUACUCGACUAACGCAUGAAAUAGAAACAAAAAAUGUCUACAUUUUUCACUUCCUAUUUACCAUUUAGAACUGAAUGUUCGGUUUUGAUCAAGUCGCUGUGAUGAAUGGGACUCAUGCUGUUGACAGGGUCCUGGUGGUGAUGAUGGUGAUGCUGGUAAACUAACUUGCCAUUGCCGUUGCCCAUCAUCAUGGAAAUCGGAGCUCCGUACGCAUUGGGAGAGCCAGGAUUCAAAUGAUUCGACAGACUAGGUAACGAUUGCUGCUGCUGCUGCUGCGCUUGAUUGUGGUUCAUAUGGUGAUGCUGAUUCAAGUGGUGGCCGGAAUGGCCAGCCGAACUGCCUGAAGAUGUCGGAACGGCGCCCAUUGCAACUUUGCUGACAGGUGUGGCGUCUCCCUUUCGCUUGCGUUUGCGGGUCUGUAAAUUUCAAAUUUUUUUUUUUUUAAUUUUAAUUCAAUGACAUUCAACGAAUUUUUCAAUUGUAAUUCUACCUGGAUGUUGUCCUUCUUCAUAGCCAGCGGUCGGUUAACGCCGUGCAGUUUGAAAUAGAGGCCGCAAGCGUUGCAAACCGUUUCGCCCUGAUUAUUGCGACGCCAAAGGGACGUCGUCGUUGUGGCGCAAUUGGCGCACCGUAGACCCAAACGUCGAGUAGUCGACUGCAAUGCGAAUAACAAAGAGACGAAGAAAUUAUCGUUGGUGUCGAAAUAAAUGUCGGAUUAGCUGCAAUGAUAAGCUUUUGUUUUGCUGCUAACGUAUACAAUCAGAUAAAAAAAGACUUAAGUUCUUACUGAUUGCUAUUACGUUUAUUGCGAGUUAUUAAAUAAUUACCAAGCGGCGGGUUUGCUUGAUGAGUGGCCGCUGUGUGCCGUUGUUCAUUUUGUGGUAGAGUCCGCACGCGUUGCACAAAUAGUGUCCAGUGCCGUCGCGACGCCACAACGGAGUCGAAAUCGAGCCGCAAUUGACGCAUUCACGACCGUCCACCUGCUCGUAGUCCUCGUCUGCUUUUGAAAGUUAGAUUCAAAGAAAUCAAAUGUUAGUAUUACAUUUUUGGGAAUGGGUCAAAGUUAACGAAAAAAAAAGGGGGGGGGGGGAGAAAAACACAAAUGGGAUCCUAGAUCGAGAAACUGGUCGUGUUUGAUCUCUUCGGUUGCAAAAAAAAAAAGAGAGAAAAAACAAACCAGUUUCUCAAUUCCCAACUCCAUUAAAGUCUUUGCCGUAAUCAAUUUCUUUUCACUUUCCUUUAUUUCAUUUUUAUUAUUAUAAUUCUUUGCGUGCGUUUGUUGUUUCGAGGGAAAAGGAGCUAUUCUUCAUAAUGUAUCCGCAGCCGUUGGGAUAAUUUUAGAGGGAUCUAAUAAGAUGGUUUCUUUAUACAUCAGCAACUACAUGAAUAAAAAACCAACUGAAGUAACUGCCAACUUUAUUAGUAGCAGCAUAAGGGAAGCUAAAACGAAAAGUAAUAAGCUAGUAACGCCUAAGUGGUGAAUGUGGUUUUAGGGAUAUGCAGGUCUGUUACCUUCCUUGAUUUCCUCUCGAUUUACGAGUGUGUUGGUGUUCAAUCCUAUAUCUGUCACCUCUCUUGCACACGUCGUUCGCCGCCCGUGAAAACUGGUGAUGAAAGAAAGAGCGAGAGAGUAGAAACUGUGAUGGCCGAACACGACUUUGUUGACUUGCACUCGUUUAAUUUCUUUUUUUUUUAAACCCCUACCCACUUAACCUCUUUACAUUAUUCACAUUGUUCAAUCACGCAACCACCCGCCAUCUUUCCUUUUUGCCUCCCCUGACGAAUCCCAUCGAUGGCACUUUUCCCCCUCGAUUUUCCAUUGGUUUUCCAUGUUGAAUUUUGUUUUCUGUUAAGUCUUCGCAGAAAAUCUGGGAAAAAACAUUUCUCGGUUACAAGAAAUGAAACUGUUCGUAUCCAUCUCACCGAAAUUUCCCAACUCUCCAGUGGUUCGAUUUGUUAUAAAAACUUAUUUCUUAACAUUUUUUUUUUUUGCAUUUUCUAUUAUCGUUUAGCUUUGGGAAGCGCGGAGUCCUUAAAAAAAAAUGUCAUCUGAUCUAAUAAGUGUUUUUCCAUCGUUUCGUUAUGUCGAAAUCUUUCUGUCGGCCGAUUUAUCUAUUCGAUCUUUAUCUUCCUUAACUACAGAAAUAAGUCUGCUCGUUUCUCUCUCACUGGAAAUACAACGUUUAGCUUAAUGA
rnacentral:lncRNA from 1 species